UACGUAGGGUGCAAGCGUUGUCCGGAAUUAUUGGGCGUAAAGAGCUCGUAGGCGGUCUGUCACGUCGGCUGUGAAAACCUGGGGCUUAACCCCGGGCCUGCAGCCGAUACGGGCAGACUAGAGUACGGCAGGGGAGACUGGAAUUCCUGGUGUAGCGGUGAAAUGCGCAGAUAUCAGGAGGAACACCGGUGGCGAAGGCGGGUCUCUGGGCCGAAACUGACGCUGAGGAGCGAAAGCGUGGGGAGCAAACAGG
rnacentral:rRNA from 1 species